UAUAUUUUGGUGUAUGGUGCACAUAAAUUUUUGAUGUUUAUGGUGUCAGUUUGAUUCUGUCAAGUAUAU
rnacentral:tRNA from 1 species